rnacentral:rRNA from 1 species
AUUGAACGCUGGCGGCAGGCCUAACACAUGCAAGUCGAACGGUAACAGGAAGAAGCUUGCUUCUUUGCUGACGAGUGGCGGACGGGUGAGUAAUGUCUGGGAAACUGCCUGAUGGAGGGGGAUAACUACUGGAAACGGUAGCUAAUACCGCAUAACGUCGCAAGACCAAAGAGGGGGACCUUCGGGCCUCUUGCCAUCGGAUGUGCCCAGAUGGGAUUAGCUAGUAGGUGGGGUAACGGCUCACCUAGGCGACGAUCCCUAGCUGGUCUGAGAGGAUGACCCGCCACACGGGAGCUGAGACACGGUCCAGACUCCUACGGGAGGCAGCAGUGGGGAAUAUUGCACAAUGGGCGCAAGCCUGAUGCAGCCAUGCCGCGUGUAUGAAGAAGGCCUUCGGGUUGUAAAGUACUUUCAGCGGGGAGGAAGGGAGUAAAGUUAAUAACCUUAGUGAUUGACGUUACCCGCAGAAGAAGCACCGGCUAACUCCGUGCCAGCAGCCGCCGUAAGAC